CCUACGGGGUGCAGCAGUGAGGAAUAUUGGUCAAUGGACGAGAGUCUGAACCAGCCAAGUAGCGUGAAGGAUGAAUGCCCUAUGGGUUGUAAACUUCUUUUAUAUGGGAAUAAAAUGUUCCACGUGUGGGAUUCUGUAUGUACCAUAUGAAUAAGGAUCGGCUAACUCCGUGCCAGCAGCCGCGGUAAUACGGAGGACCCGAGCGUUAUCCGGAUUUAUUGGGGUUAAAGGGAGCGUGGGUGGAGUGUUAAGUCAGGUGUGAAAGUUGGCGGCUCAACCGGACAAUUGCAGUUGAAACUGGCAGUCUUGAGUACAGUAGAGGUGGGCGGAAUUCGUGGGGUAGCGGUGAAAUGCUUAGAUAGCACGAGGAACGCCGAUUGCGAAGGCAGUUCACUGGACUGCAACUGACACUGAGGCUCGAAGGUGUGGGUAUCAAACAGGAUUAGAUACCCCUGUAGUC
rnacentral:rRNA from 1 species